GCUUAUCUAACAGCUGUGAGGAAAGCUGCACAGACAUGUCAUUAGUCAUUCUGGUGCAUCUUUUCUUUGGUUGUAGACAUGAUGGUGUUAAUGUCUGUGUGUUUCUGUUUCCUUUAGGAGAAAAUGUCUACAUUGAUGACCUUUACUGCCUUUAUGACCACCUGGAAGGAUCUCCAAGUUGACCUACUGCGCUCCUUGCUGUACCAGGAGAAUCUUUGACCCUGUCUGGAGAACUGGAGGAGACCUUCAGUUCUUUUCUCAGCAGAUGUCAGACAGCUGGUGCAGCAUUUCAUGCUGAUCUCUCUGCAUCAGCACCUCGUCUGAAAUGAAAUUCAGUGAACUGUUUAUACUUCAUCACAUCAGUCUCAUCCAAUCACCGCUCUAGUUCAGACUAAUGUCGGCUGGUUUUGCUUGUGUCUGUCCACCAAACCUGUGAUGAACUUCUUAGAGUCUGGCUGUGCAUGUGAACGUGCAGACACAUGAGAGGUGGAGUUGGACUGAUGUGCUCCUCCACUAAUCAUCAUCUCAGCUGUUCAGCAUUGAAGCUCUGCAGCUUCCAGUGUUCAUCGACAGAUCAUUGUCUACCUUUAGAAUCCUUCAACCACGAGUACCAACAACCAGCCAUCUCUGGACCUCUCUGCUCAGCUGACUCACAGCCACAGACUUGGUUCUACCUGCUCACCGUGUCCUCCAGAAGGAAAAAGGAACGCCGCUCACCUCCCAAUGUUUCCAGCACUUGGGUCCUUCUGGCCUCGUGAAACCAUGACGACUACUUCAGAUGUUUUGACAACAGAAAGAGGAGGAACUGAGGACACUUUAUCCAGAGAUACCCACCGGGCUACUGCCAUCCCUUUCUUGGACAAAUAAACUAUGACUAAUUUCAUUUUUUUCUUGCCUUUUUAUUAAAAUUAUUAUAAUGCACUGUAACAUAACUCUAGCAGAGGAUAAUGACCCAGCAUGAGCUUG